CCUUGCUAUUAUCUAUAAGUUGCCAUAACUAUGUUCUCCCCCUUUAUCUGGGGAAUGAAUAUCCCUAUCUAUUCCUAUCGCUUGGCAAUCCAUUGUUAUUAUUUCUAUCCUUAUUUUAUUUGCUCGGCUAUACGCAAGCAGAGCCUAUGAUUACCACUCUGUGGUAUUAAUACUACAACAUAUGAUACAUGUCGUCCUUGAGAGAGGGACGUCCAACUACGCCCAUUAGGACUUAGCCCUCAGGAGGUUGAAGCUAUGAUAUUUAAGCAAUGUCUCAAAAGGUCCAGUUACGGAAGCCGGAACGGGAGACACAAAGGAACCGAUAAAAUACAUAUAGAGAAUGAGAUCGCUCGAUACCAUCGUAUCAUACUACUAUAAGCCAUCCACUGACUGCAUUUUUUGCGGAUUCAUGGAAAGGUUCCUUUCCAUCCUGAUCAUCAAAUAUGCUGCUGUGCGGGUCCAAAGCUUCAUCUCGACCUUGCAAAUUCGAAAUCCCAGUCAACGUGAACACCCUUCCCCAAAUUAUUGGUCAUGUUCAUCGGCUCAAUCAUAUCAAAAGGAUGUCGUCCG
rnacentral:sRNA from 1 species